CGUCUAUAUACGUAUAGCAUAUCAAUAAGCGGAGGAAAAGAAACUAACUAGGAUUCCCUCAGUAACGGCGAGUGAAGCGGGAAGAGCUCAAAUUUGAAAUCUUCAAGGUUCUACCUUGACGAAUUGUAGUUUAAAGAAGUGUUUUCUGUCGGAGUUUCGGUAAAAGUUCUUUGGAAUAGGACAUCAUAGAGGGUGAGAAUCCCGUAUUUGACCGUUACUUUCCAGCUGUGUGAUACACUUUCAAAGAGUCGGAUUGUUUGGGAAUGCAGUCCAAAAUGGGUGGUAAAUUUCAUCUAAAGCUAAAUAUUGGCGAGAGACCGAUAGCGAACAAGUACCGUGAGGGAAAGAUGAAAAGAACUUUGAAAAGAGAGUUAAACAGUACGUGAAAUUGUCAAAAGGGAAGCGUUUGACACCAGUGUUGUUUUCUCGAAAAUCAAUUAAAAAUGGCAGGAUUUUGUGUUGUAUUGACUUUAUCAGCUUUCUGCACUUUUUUCUUGUCUCUUUUAAUGCACUUUUCGUUUAACAAGUCAACAUCAAUUUCUUUUGUUGUAAAAGGGUCAUUGGAAGGUGGCAUUCUUUUCGGAGAAAGUGUUUAUAGCCUUUGCCUCUGCAGUCGGAGAGAUUGAGGUCUGCAGCGUAGAUCCUUCGGGGUUAGAUACAUUUGUGCUAAGUUAUAGCCUUUCAUAGACAACUUGUUGACUAUGAUCAGUCAUGUAGCUUACUCGCUUAUGUUAUUUUACCUACGCUUAGGAUGUUGACGAUCAGCUGAGCGCG
rnacentral:rRNA from 1 species